GGAACUGGUGAGCAGGAGGACUGAUGUGAGGAUCGCACAAAGCUCAGGGGCAGAGGAUGGAGCCCGCUCCCUCUGCCGACAGGACUGCUUUCCAUCACAGCUGUAACUCUGCACACUCACGGAGAGCGAAGGUGGGAAGGAGUGACCAGAGGUGAUGGCUGCAAAGGUGAAAGAGAAAGCUGAAACAAGGAGCAACAGCAAAGGGGAAAGCUGCCCUUUAACUCAGGCCGUAUCACAGAGUGAAUUCCUGCCUCCAUCGGUGUCAGCAGAGGAAUUCUGUGAUCAUAUAAAUUACAGAACACCAGCAAGAGGCAGAAUGCAGCAACGUGCAGAGAAGCUGGCCCUGAUCCUGGUGCAGAAGAGCAAUCCUGCUGCUGUCAGAGGAGCUGCACUGACAUAAAUCUGCUGUAAGCAGGGGCAUCACAGAGCCCUGCAUUGGACGUUUUCCACCUUCCAGAGUGAACGGGUGGACUCCUCUGAAGCAGACAAGCCUCAGUAUACACAGCUGUCCUUCUGAGAUGGAUGUUGCUAUCUGCAGCAGGCAGCU